UUUUCUUGUUUGUAGAGAUAGGGUCUUGGUAUGUUGCCCAGGCUGGACUUGAACUCCUGGCCUCAAGUGAUCCUCUCGCUUCAACCUCCCAAAGCGUUGGAAUUAAAGGAUCCUUGGGGGAAGAAAGGGAUCCCCACUCACAUCCCCUUGUAAACACUCCAGUAACCAGAGCUUCUGCCCCUGACCCAUCGCCAGCUCCUACCGUCACCCGUGAGGUCCAAUAUGGUGUCGUCCUCCCCUCGAUCGUCAGAAACCAUCGCUCUGUAAAUUCCCUUGUCCUUUUUGGACAACUGGAAAGAAGGAUGAGCGAUGGUGGUGUCAGCAUGGGCUCCAGAAGGAGAGAUGGAUACCAAAUCCGGAGGCCUGGGCUCCAGGCCUGCCCCUCACUCUCUGUGUGACCUCAGGUCCAGAACGGCGAAUCUCGGGGAUCUCACAGGGCUUUCCGAGCUGAUGG
ensembl:lncRNA novel transcript, antisense to MYOM3